UAAUGAAUUUGACGAAAGUGAUAACUAUGUGAAGUGUGAAGGGAAGGAUGACAACUUGGUGAACAUUGAAGAAAUGAAGCUGAUAGGAAGAUUAUACAUAAUUUGGAUAAAUAUGUAUUGAAAAGUGGAUGAAAGUGUUGAUAUGAGUGGUUUGUGUUCUAUGUGUCAUCAACAUCAUUUUAGUUUCAAGACAACACAACACUAAUAAUGAAGAAGAAAAUAAUUAGAG
rnacentral:lncRNA from 1 species